rnacentral:rRNA from 1 species
GAUGAACGCUGGCGGCGUGCCUAACACAUGCAAGUCGAGCGUGAACCGUCUGAAUGAAACUUCGGUCGAGUGAGGAUGGGGAAAGCGGCGGACGGGUGAGUAACGCGUAGGCAACCUGCCCCGUACAGAGGGAUAGCCUCGGGAAACCGGGAUUAAGACCUCAUAAUACCAUUAUCUCACAUGUGAUAAUGGUCAAAGAUUUUAUCGGUAUGGGAUGGGCCUGCGUCUGAUUAGCUGGUUGGUGGGGUAACGGCUCACCAAGGCGACGAUCAGUAGCCGACCUGAGAGGGUAAUCGGCCACAUUGGAACUGAGACACGGUCCAAACUCCUACGGGAGGCAGCAGUGGGGAAUAUUGCACAAUGGGCGAAAGCCUGAUGCAGCAACGCCGCGUGAGCGAGGAAGGCCUUUGGGUCGUAAAGCUCUGUCGAGGAGGAAGAUAAUGACGGUACUCCUCGAGGAAGCCCCGGCUAACUACGUGCCAGCAGCCGCGGUAAACGU